rnacentral:misc_RNA from 1 species
UAUGGCGAUGUUGAUGCACUAUUUCUUAAUGCACUGUUGCUGUUGUUGGAGGGUGAGGUUUCUCGUUUGAUGAUUAAAAUCAUUAGGCUAGCAAAUGCUUGCAAUACCAUAAAGAGUCAAUUCUAGGUUUCCUUUUCUUUAGUUCUAUUCUGGCGGCAAUUCUGUUUGGAUUUUGAAGUUAUUUGUUUUGUACAGAGAAUUGGAUCUUGCUUCUAAGGUGUGAUUUGUAAAA